CAAUCGAACCCGGAGAUAGCUGGUUCUCCUCGAAAUAGCUUUAGGGCUAGCCUCGCAUUAGUUUACCGGAGGUAGAGCACUGAAUGGUCUAGGGGGCCUCACCGCCUACCGAAACCUAUCAAACUGCGAAUGCCGGAUAAAUGAUGUGCGGGAGUCAGGCCGCGAGAGAUAAGUUCCGCGGUCAAAAGGGGAACACCCCAGAUCGUCUGCUAAGGUCCCCAAGUACGCGUUAAGUGGGAAAGGAUGUUGGAUUGCACAGACAACCAGGAUGUUGGCUUAGAAGCAGCCACACAUUCAAAGAGUGCGUAAUAGCUCACUGGUCGAGUGAUCCAGCGCCGAAAAUGUAACGGGGCUAAAACGCGACACCGAAGCAGCGGGAUGCGUAAGCAUCGGUAGAGGAGCAUUGUGUGAGGAUUGAAGCCAGAGCGGGAGCACUGGUGGACUUCACAGAAGAGAGAAUGCCGGUAUGAGUAGCGAGACCCAUGCGAGAAACAUGGGCGUCGAAGGCCCAAGGUUUCCUGGGGAAGGUUCAUCCACCCAGGGUAAGUCGGGACCUAAGCCGAGGACUGAGGUCGUAGGCGAUGGACAGCAGGUAGAGAUUCCUGCACCACUUACACUUGUUUGACGAAGCAGUGACACAGAAGGAUAGGACGAGCGCGGUGAUGGUCAACCGCGUAGGCGGCACGAGGCCGGGAAGCAGUGAAGUACACUUCCCGCAAAGGCUGAGUGUUGACAGGACCGAAAAGAAGUAGGGAAGCGUCCGAGUUCACGCUGGCGAGAAAAGCUGCUAAGGAGAGUGUGAGUGCCCGUACCGGAAACCGACGCAGGUGGGCGAGGAGAGAAUCCUGAGACGGACGGGAGAACUCUUGUUAAGGAACUCGGCAAAAUGACCCCGUAACUUCGGGAGAAGGGGUGCCUCGAAAGAGGCCGCAGAGAAUAGUCACAAGCGACUGUUUAGCAAAAACACAGGUAUCUGCGAAAGCGAGAGCUGACGUAUAGGUGCUGACGCCUGCCCGGUGCUGGAAGGUUAAGGGGAAGUGUUAGGGGAAACCCGAAGCAGAGAACCGAAGCCCCAGUAAACGGCGGCCGUAACUAUAACGGUCCUAAGGUAGCGAAAUUCCUUGUCGGGUAAGUUCCGACCCGCACGAAUGGCGUAACGACUUGUGAGCUGUCUCAACAGGAGGCCCGGUGAAAUUGAAGUAUGUGUGAAGAUGCACAUUACCCGCGACUGGACGGAAAGACCCCGUAGAGCUUUACUGUAACCUGACAUUGGAUCUUGAUAACGGAUGCACAGGAUAGGUGGGACGCUGGGAGACGAGGACUUUGGUUUUCGUGGAGCGGCCGUUGGGAUACCACUCUUCUGUUAUUGAGAUUCUAACCUCAAGCCGUGAGCCGGAUGAGAGACAGUGUCAGGCGGACAGUUUGACUGGGGCGGUCGCCUCCGAAAGAGUAACGGAGGCGCCCAAAGGUACCCUCAGAAUGGAUGGAAACCAUUCGAAGAGAGCAAAGUCAGAAGGGUGCUUGACUGCGAGACCAACAAGUCGAGCAGGUACGAAAGUAGGGCUUAGUGAUCCGGCGGUAAGAGAGUGGAAUUGCCGUCGCUCAACGGAUAAAAGCUACCUCGGGGAUAACAGGCUGAUCUCCCCCAAGAGUUCACAUCGACGGGGAGGUUUGGCACCUCGAUGUCGGCUCGUCGCAUCCUGGGGCUGUAGUCGGUCCCAAGGGUUUGGCUGUUCGCCAAUUAAAGCGGCACGCGAGCUGGGUUCAGAACGUCGUGAGACAGUUCGGUCCCUAUCCAUCGUGGGCGAAGGACACAUGAGAGGAGCUGCUCCUAGUACGAGAGGACCGGAGUGGACGCAUCACUGGUGCAACUGUUGUCGUGCCAACGGCACAGCAGGGAAGCGAAAUGCGGAUGGGAUAAACGCUGAAGGCAUCUAAGCGUGAAGCCCACCUCAAGAAUAAGUGUCCCAUUCGAAAGAAGUAAGACCCCUGGAAGACUACCAGGUGAUAGGUCAUCGGUGAAAGAGUGGUAACAUUUGGAGCUUGAUGAUACUAAUCGGUCGAGGACUUGAUCUA
rnacentral:rRNA from 1 species